AAUCUAAAUAUCCAAAAAUCUUCUCUUGGUCAAUGAAAAAUAUGGAGACCCAAACUUUUUCCAAUCAAAUACCUAAUCUCGCACUUGAUACAUCCAAAAUUGUUGCCCACUAUAUACUUGGCCAACUUCUAUUUCAAGGAUGAAUCUCGACCGUUCGAUAAAGCGUACUCCAAUUUGGACCCAUCCUUACUCCAAAAACCGUAUAAUGAUACUAAACUUGGUUGAAACCAUUCAUUCACUCACAUUCUUUUCUCCCUACGAUCUAAAAAUCCUCUCACGAUAAAUCCACCCAUUCUUCUUCUCAAUUAUCCCUCUGCAAUAUUUUUCUUGCCUUUCCUGAUCCGUGGAACUUCGGAGAUGUUUUGUUCCAGCACCAUCUUGGCUCUCUUCAUGUCUUCUUCGAUUCUGGUGAUUUGAUUUGAGCCUUUUAUGGUAACAAAUUUGUUUAUUUGGCGAUGACGCACCCUAGUUUUGUGAGCUAAAAAACCAGGUGGAUGAUUUGUUGAAUUCUUGGAUCAAUGUAAAGUAUUGAGACCCAAAUUUUCCAAUCCAAUACCUAAUCCCACACUUAGAUGCAACAAAAUUUGUAGCCCGCCAUCUACUUUGGCCCACUCCUAUUUCCAGGAUGAAUAUCGGUCGCUUGAUCAACCGUACUCCAAUUUGGACCCAUCAUUACUCCAGAAACCCUAAGUAUAAAGAUACUACACUUUGUCGAUGGAAUUCAUUUACUCACCUUUGCUUUCUCACUUUGGCUGCGCACUUCUUCCUACGAUCUAAAUCCACCCAUUCUUCUUCUCAAUUAUCCCACUGCAAUCUGUGUCUCGCCAUUCCUAAUCCGUGGAACUUCGGAGAUGUUUUGUUUCAACAUCAUGUUGGCUCUCUUCAUGCCUGCUUCGAUUCGGGUGAUUUGAUUUUAGCCUUUUAUGGAUUCGUGUGUGAUGUUUUCGAUUUCGGUUGUUUUGGGUAUCUGACACUAUAUCAUCUUCUUGAUAGCUUAGUGUGUGUUUUGGUUGGAAUCAUGGACAAUUAGUUUAGCGAUCCAAUUAGGGUUGAGUAGACACAAAAAGUUGUCGAGUAUCUGAAAGACACACAGAAGCAAAAUAUUCUUUACAACAACCUCAAGAUUGUAUAGAUGAAAUUGUUUGCGGUGAAAUGGAAUUUGUGGAGCUUCUUCUAUUGUGGACGACAGAACUUGAACAAUUGGAACUAGUACCUCAUUCUAUGGAUGAGGGUGAAUUGGAUAGGGCAAAAAGAGAGUUUGAGUUGUUCUAUUGGGAGUCAUCUACCAAAGCUAAAUUUUUCAUAGAUAAACAUAGAGUUCAAAAUUUUGACUUUGGCCAUGAAUCAUUGCUUUGUUGUGGAUUUUGUAUUAAGCUGCAUUCCCGAAUCUCUUCAUCUUUCUUUUGUUUUAUUAAUUAUUAUUUUUUUU